rnacentral:rRNA from 1 species
GACGAACGCUGGCGGCGUGCCUAAUACAUGCAAGUAGAACGCUGAAGAGAGGAGCUUGCUCUUCUUGGAUGAGUUGCGAACGGGUGAGUAACGCGUAGGUAACCUGCCUUGUAGCGGGGGAUAACUAUUGGAAACGAUAGCUAAUACCGCAUAACAAUAGGUGACACAUGUCAUUUAUUUGAAAGGGGCAAUUGCUCCACUACAAGAUGGACCUGCGUUGUAUUAGCUAGUAGGUGAGGUAACGGCUCACCUAGGCGACGAUACAUAGCCGACCUGAGAGGGUGAUCGGCCACACUGGGACUGAGACACGGCCCAGACUCCUACGGGAGGCAGCAGUAGGGAAUCUUCGGCAAUGGGGGCAACCCUGACCGAGCAACGCCGCGUGAGUGAAGAAGGUUUUCGGAUCGUAAAGCUCUGUUGUAAGUCAAGAACGAGUGUGAGAGUGGAGAGUUCACACUGUGACGGUAGCUUACCAGAAAGGGACGGCUAACUACGUGCCAGCAGCCGCGGUAAUACGUAGGUCCCGAGCGUUGUCCGGAUUUAUUGGGCGUAAAGCGAGCGCAGGCGGUUUGAUAAGUCUGAAGUUAAAGGCUGUGGCUCAACCAUAGUUCGCUUUGGAAACUGUCAAACUUGAGUGCAGAAGGGGAGAGUGGAAUUCCAUGUGUAGCGGUGAAAUGCGUAGAUAUAUGGAGGAACACCGGUGGCGAAAGCGGCUCUCUGGUCUGUAACUGACGCUGAGGCUCGAAAGCGUGGGGAGCGAACAGGAUUAGAUACCCUGGUAGUCCACGCCGUAAACGAUGAGUGCUAGGUGUUGGAUCCUUUCCGGGAUUCAGUGCCGCAGCUAACGCAUUAAGCACUCCGCCUGGGGAGUACGACCGCAAGGUUGAAACUCAAAGGAAUUGACGGGGGCCCGCACAAGCGGUGGAGCAUGUGGUUUAAUUCGAAGCAACGCGAAGAACCUUACCAGGUCUUGACAUCCCGAUGCUAUUUCUAGAGAUAGAAAGUUACUUCGGUACAUCGGUGACAGGUGGUGCAUGGUUGUCGUCAGCUCGUGUCGUGAGAUGUUGGGUUAAGUCCCGCAACGAGCGCAACCCCUAUUGUUAGUUGCCACCAUUCAGUUGGGCACUCUAGCGAGACUGCCGGUAAUAAACCGGAGGAAGGUGGGGAUGACGUCAAAUCAUCAUGCCCCUUAUGACCUGGGCUACACACGUGCUACAAUGGUUGGUACAACGAGUUGCGAGUCGGUGACGGCAAGCUAAUCUCUUAAAGCCAAUCUCAGUUCGGAUUGUAGGCUGCAACUCGCCUACAUGAAGUCGGAAUCGCUAGUAAUCGCGGAUCAGCACGCCGCGGUGAAUACGUUCCCGGGCCU